CUGUGCGUGUGACAGCGGCUAAC
rnacentral:ncRNA from 2 species